UGGCGGACGGGUGGNGUAACGCGUGGGUAACCUGCCUUGGUACUAGGGGGACAACAGUUAGAAAUGACUGCUAAUACCGCAUAAGCGCACAGUAUCGCAUGAUACAGUGUGAAAAACUCCGGUGGUACAAGAUGGACCCGCGUCUGAUUAGCUAGUUGGUAAGGUAACGGCUUACCAAGGCGACGAUCAGUAGCCGACCUGAGAGGGUGACCGGCCACAUUGGACUGAGACACGGCCCAAACUCCUACGGGAGGCAGCAUG
rnacentral:rRNA from 1 species